rnacentral:rRNA from 1 species
UACAGAGGUGGCAAGCGUUGUUCGGAAUUACUGGGCGUAAAGGGCGUGUAGGCGGUCUUCUAAGUCAGACGUGAAAUCCCCCGGCUUAACCUGGGAACUGCGUCUGAUACUGGGAGGCUUGAGUAUGGGAGAGGGAUGUAGAAUUCCAGGUGUAGCGGUGAAAUGCGUAGAUAUCAGGAGGAACACCUGUGGUGUAGACGGCUUUCUGGACCGUAGCUGACGCUGAGACACGAAAGCGUGGGUAGCAAACAGG